AGAACUUAGCAGAGAUGCUUUGGUGACCUUCGGGAACUCUGAGACAGGUGCUGCAUGGCUGUCGUCAGCUCGUGUUGUGAAAUGUUGGGUUAAGUCCCGCAACGAGCGCAACCCUUAUCCUUUGUUGCCAGCGGUCCGGCCGGGAACUCAAAGGAGACUGCCAGUGAUAAACUGGAGGAAGGUGGGGAUGACGUCAAGUCAUCAUGGCCCUUACGAGUAGGGCUACACACGUGCUACAAUGGCGCAUACAAAGAGAAGCGACCUCGCGAGAGCAAGCGGACCUCAUAAAGUGCGUCGUAGUCCGGAUUGGAGUCUGCAACUCGACUCCAUGAAGUCGGAAUCGCUAGUAAUCGUGGAUCAGAAUGCCACGGUGAAUACGUUCCCGGGCCUUGUACACACCGCCCGUCACACCAUGGGAGUGGGUUGCAAAAGAAGUAGGUAGCUUAACCUUCGGGAGGGCGCUUACCACUUUGUGAUUCAUGACUGGGGUGAAGUCGUAACAAGGUAGGCGUAGUGCU
rnacentral:rRNA from 1 species